rnacentral:rRNA from 1 species
GACGAACGCUGGCGGCGUGCUUAACACAUGCAAGUCGAACGGUAAGGCCCUACGGGGUACACGAGUGGCGAACGGGUGAGUAACACGUGGGUGAUCUGCCCUGCACUUCGGGCUAAGCCUGGGAAACUGGGUCUAAUACCGGAUAGGACCACUGCCUGAAUGGGUGGCGGUGGAAAGCUUUUGCGGUGUGGGAUGGGACCGCGGCCUAUCAGCUUGUUGGUGGGGUGAUGGCCGACCAAGGCGACGACGGGUAGCCGGCCUGGGAGGGUGACCGGCCACACGGGGACGGGGAGACGGGGCAGACUGCUACGGGGGGCAGCAGUGGGGAAUAUUGCACAAUGGGCGCGAGCCUGAUGCAGCGACGCCGGGUGAGAGAUGACAGCCUUCGGGGGGUGAACCGCUUUCGGCUCCGACGAGGCGCAAGUGACGGUAGAUGCAGAAGAAGGACCGGCCAACUACGUGCCAGCCGCCGCCGUAA